GAUGAACGCUGGCGGCGUGCCUAAUACAUGCCAGUCGAGCGAACGGACGAGAAGCUUGCUUCUCUGAUGUUAGCGGCGGACGGGUGAGUAACGCAUGGAUAAGCUACCUAUAAUACGUGGAGAACUUCGGGAAACCGUAGCUAAUACCGCAUAAUAUUUUCAACGGCAUGGUUCAAAAGUUAAACACGCUCUUGCUGUCACUUAUAGAUGGAUUCGCGCUGCAUUAGCUAGUUGGUAAGGUAACGGCUUACCAAGGCAACGAUGCAUAGCCGACCUGAGAGGGUGAUCGGCCACACUGGAACUGAGACACGGUCCAGACUCCUACGGGAGGCAGCAGUAGGGAAUAUUCCGCAAUGGGCGAAAGCCUGACGGAGCAACGCCGCGUGAGUGAUGAAGGUCUUCGGAUCGUAAAACUCUGUUAUUAGGGAAGAACAUAUGUGUAAGAAACUGUGCACAUCCUGACGGUACCUAAUCAGAAAGCCACGGCUAACUACGUG
rnacentral:rRNA from 1 species